AAGGUACUGAAGUAGAGUUCUGGCUGUUCCUUACGGACAUCUCUGGUGAAUAAUCUGAGAAGGCCUCACUUAUAAUUUGGCUUGAAGAAAACACGAGAGCAAGUCAUGCAAUGUUCAAGUAAGAGUGCAGCAGUCAGAAGAAAAAGCUAUGCAAGGGCCCUAAGGUUGAAAGUGUUCUUAGUGUCUUUGAGAAACAUCAAGGAAUGUGCAAAAGGCAGAAUGAUAGAAGAUGAGAUCAGAGAGGGGAAGUAAAUUCAACAACAGAAAUUGAGGAUGAGGAACAUGGUGUUGCAGUUCAAACCAGUUCCAGCCAAAAUGGACUCUAGUCACAAACAAAUAGUAAUAACAAUCCAAACUUGUGGCUGAAUAGAGUUCUGAAGUUUUGAGAAAGAGCCAAGAGAAAAUUCAGUGUGAAGAUGAUGGAGUGACACAAUAGAAGGAACCUGAAUCACUGAAUCAUCACUUGGAAGAAAGCAGCCCAGACUAGUUACCCAACUCCCAUCAGACAGUGACCAGAGUGAGAAAUAAGCCUUGUGUAUGGUG
rnacentral:lncRNA from 1 species